rnacentral:rRNA from 1 species
CAAUAGCGUAUAUUAAAGUUGUUGCGGUUAAAAAGCUCGUAGUUGGAUUUCUGCUGAGGACGACCGGUCCGCCCUCCGGGUGAGCAUCUGGUUCGGCCUUGGCAUCUUCUUGGUGAACGUAUCUGCACUUGACUGUGUGGUGCGGUACCCAGGACUUUUACUUUGAGGAAAUUAGAGUGUUUCAAGCAGGCAUACGCCUUGAAUACAUUAGCAUGGAAUAAUAAGAUAGGACCUCGGUUCUAUUUGUUGGUUUCUAGAGCUGAGGUAAUGAUUAAUAGGGAUAGUUGGGGGCGGAUUCGUUAUUUAACUUAGUCAGAAGGUGGAAAUUACUUUGGAG